rnacentral:rRNA from 1 species
UACGUAGGGUGCAAGCGUUAAUCGGAAUUACUGGGCGUAAAGUGUGCGCAGGCGGUUUUGUAAGUCUGUCGUGAAAGCCCCGGGCUCAACCUGGGAAUUGCGAUGGAGACUGCAAGGCUUGAAUCUGGCAGAGGGGGUAGAAUUCCACGUGUAGCAGUGAAAUGCGUAGAGAUGUGGAGGAACACCGAUGGCGAAGGCAGCCCCUGGGUCAAGAUUGACGCUCAUGCACGAAAGCGUGGGGAGCAAACAGG